rnacentral:rRNA from 1 species
CCGCGGGAUUAGAGUUUGAUCCUGGCUCAGGAUGAACGCUAGCGGCAGGCUUAAUACAUGCAAGUCGUGGGGCAGCGCGGGUAGCAAUACCUGGCGGCGACCGGCAAACGGGUGAGGAACAUGUACGCAACCUUCCUUUAACUGGAGAAUAGCCCCUCGAAAGAGGGAUUAAUACUCCGUAACAUAUUGAUAAGGCAUCUUAUUAAUAUUAUAGCUCCGGCGGUUAAAGAUGGACGUGCACCUGAUUAGAUAGUUGGCGGGGUAAUGGCCCACCAAGUCUGCGAUCAGUAACUGGUGUGAGAGCACGACCAGUCACACGGGCACUGAGACACGGGUCCGACUCCUACGGGAGGCAGCGGUAAGGAAUAUUGGUCAAUGGACGCAAGUCUGAACCAGCCAUGCCGCGUGGAGGAUUAAGGCCCUCUGGGUUGUAAACUCCUUUUAUCUGGGAAGAAAUGUACUUUUUCUUGAGUACUUGACGGUACCAGAGGAAUAAGCACCGGCUAACUCCGUGCCAGCAGCCGCGGUAAUACGGAGGGUGCAAGCGUUAUCCGGAUUCACUGGGUUUAAAGGGUGCGUAGGCGGGCAGGUAAGUCAGUGGUGAAAUCUCCGAGCUUAACUCGGAAACUGCCGUUGAUACUAUUUGUCUUGAAUAUUGUGGAGGUAAGCGGAAUAUGUCAUGUAGCGGUGAAAUGCUUAGAUAUGACAUAGAACACCAAUUGCGAAGGCAGCUUACUACACAAUUAUUGACGCUGAGGCACGAAAGCGUGGGGAUCAAACAGGAUUAGAUACCCUGGUAGUCCACGCCCUANACGAUGAUUACUCGACGUGUGCGAUACACUGUACGCGUCUGAGCGAAAGCAUUAAGUAAUCCACCUGGGAAGUACGUUCGCAAGAAUGAAACUCAAAGGAAUUGAC